GUCCUGUAAUAUUAUGUUGUCAUUUCAAUGUUAUAUUUAACUUUGCCAUUAAAGUGCGAGGUUUGGCAUGCCUUAAAACCAGGUUCAACCCACCACUUUUAUUCCCCUUUAAAAGUGUCCUGUACCAAGUCAGGAAGAUGGUCAUUGUUAUAUAUUGUUCGUUUCUCUUUGUGUUGCAUUUUAACGUUGAGUCGUUUGUGUUUUCUCUUAUUUUUGAGAUAUUGAGAUAAGACGUGGCACGGUACUUGUCUAUCCCAAAUUCAUGUAUUUGGUUUUCAUGUUACAUUUGUUAUUCUCGUGGUGUUUUGUCUGAUGAUUGGUCUGUUUCUGUGUGUGUUGCGUUUCGAUGUUGUGUCGUUGUUCUCC
rnacentral:lncRNA from 1 species